AUAUGGGGCACAUUGGAAUCUGUGUUUUUAUUUUUAUUUUUUUUCUUUCUUUCCUUUUUAAUUUUUAAUGACCAAAACAAAGCAUCUAAAACCGCAGCUUCUGGAAGAACCACUUGUUCUUGCCUGUCUUGCAUCUCUCUUCAAACUUGACCUUGGCCUCUCGUCGGGCCUUGCGUUUAAGAGCAGGAUCUCUGAAGACAUCCUUAUUGAUGACAGUUUUGUCCAAGGGGAUAUCCACAGAGUACCUUCACGAUGACGGCUUUGCGUCCAGAGUAGCGUCCAGCCAGGGCAAGCACCACCCUCCCAGGUUUCAUGAACUUGCCCGUUUCGGCAGCAAGCACUCAGGCCUACAGCAAAAAGGAAAGAAGAACCGGAAUCUGUGUUUCUAAAUUACAAUAACUCACAAGCUUUGCAACAAAAGAGUUGAGGGUUAAAUAAAAGUUGCAAUAUUGAAAUGUUAUUAAAUGAUGUAUAAAAUUUAUGAUGAAUACUUUCAAAUAAUACAGUAGCAGCCAAAUAAAUUGAAUGAGGGUAAAAAUUUACAUUUUUUUCCUCUCUGGAAAGAGAUCCCACAUACCCUUCAAUACAAAUGUAAAGCAAACAGCAAUUACAGUUUAUUUUUCAACUCACAGAAGGGGCUCUUUAGAUUGUGGGUCUUUUUGAGCUUGUUAAAUUCCUUCGUUCAGCUUUAAUUUGAGAAUCAGCAGGAUACAAUAGUAAGUGUCCGAUGUAGGAACUUUGUCUUAUUACUCAACCUUCAGUGGCUUAAAACUGUUUCCACAUGAGUAAAAGAAGUAGUAGGUUUCAUCCUAAAUGGCAUGUUAUAAUUUUGCCAUGUGUCUAUGUGGUGCUAUGAAGCCACUGGAGUUCAUGUCCAUAUAACCCUGGCAGUUACAGUUUUAAAUGCCAUGGAAUAAACUCCAAGAGAAAUUUCUCAAUCUUUCUGAUUUGCUUUUAACAGUUGAGUUAAUUCUAUGAGUAUUUAGCUAGCCAGUAUAAACUGUUGUAAAGGAUGUUUACCAGACUGAUCAAUCACAUCUACUUGGUCACAGUUAAUUAACAUCUAAACAGACUCAGUGUGGGAGAGGAUGAGAAGGAAGAAUUCAUCCUUCUUCAUUGUGCCUCUAGGAAAGAUUUAAAGUUGUUUAUUUUAUUUCAAACAAUGUAUUGACAGUAAGACUGUUCAUUAUUACUCAUUGCAAUUAGACUAGAAGUAGUCUGUUUCAUUGAAAAUUAAUAAUGUGACUACCUAUUAUUCAUUAAGAGCCCAAAAUUAAGAAGCAAGCAAACAAGCCAAAAAAAAAAAGAAAAAAAAAGAUCUAUAAUCCCACCACCAAGAACAAUGGAUAUCAUUUCAGAGUA
rnacentral:lncRNA from 1 species